rnacentral:rRNA from 1 species
GUGGUACAGGAUGGGCCCGCGUCUGAUUAGCUGGUUGGCAGGGUAACGGCCUACCAAGGCAACGAUCAGUAGCCGGUCUGAGAGGAUGAACGGCCACAUUGGAACUGAGACACGGUCCAAACUCUACGGGAGGCAGCAGUGGGGAAUAUUGCACAAUGGGGGAAACCCUGAUGCAGCAACGCCGCGUGAGUGAAGAAGUAUUUCGGUAUGUAAAGCUCUAUCAGCAGGGAAGAUAAUGACGGUACCUGACUAAGAAGCUCCGGCUAAAUACGUGCCAGCAGCCGCGGUAAUACGUAUGGAGCAAGCGUUAUCCGGAUUUACUGGGUGUAAAGGGUGCGUAGGUGGCAGUGCAAGUCAGAUGUGAAAGGCCGGGGCUCAACCCCGGAGCUGCAUUUGAAACUGCAUAGCUAGAGUACAGGAGAGGCAGGCGGAAUUCCUAGUGUAGCGGUGAAAUGCGUAGAUAUUAGGAGGAACACCAGUGGCGAAGGCGGCCUGCUGGACUGUUACUGACACUGAGGCACGAAAGCGUGGGGAGCAAAACAGGAUU